rnacentral:rRNA from 1 species
UACGUAGGGGGCAAGCGUUGUCCGGAAUUAUUGGGCGUAAAGCGCGCGCAGGCGGCCAUGUAAGUCUGGUGUUUAAGCCCGGGGCUCAACCCCGGUACGCACUGGAAACUGUGUGGCUUGAGUGCAGAAGAGGAGAGUGGAAUUCCACGUGUAGCGGUGAAAUGCGUAGAGAUGUGGAGGAACACCAGUGGCGAAGGCGACUCUCUGGUCUGUAACUGACGCUGAGGCGCGAAAGCGUGGGGAGCAAACAGGAUUAGAAACCCGCGUAGUCC